UAGGGAUAAGGGGUGCCACCAUCAGGUGGCCGCAGAGAAUAGGCCCAAGCGACUGUUUACCAAAAACAUAGGUUUCUGCUAAGUCGCAAGACGAUGUAUAGGAGCUGACGCCUGCCCGGUGCUGGAAGGUUAAGGGGAUCUGUUAGAGCAAUCGAAGCAGGGAACUUAAGCCCCAGUAAACGGCGGCCGUAACUAUAACGGUCCUAAGGUAGCGAAAUUCCUUGUCGGGUAAGUGCCGACCCGCACGAAAGGCGUAACGAUUUGGGCACUGUCUCAACAACAGACUCGGUGAAAUUGUAAUUCCGGUGAAGAUGCCGGAUACCUGCGACAGGACGGAAAGACCCCAUGGAGCUUUACUGUAGCUUGACAUU
rnacentral:rRNA from 1 species